GAUCGCUCCGUUGCCUUCUGAGUUGCUUCUGCGCAGGUUCCACCCUUAUGCCACUUCCCUCUCCAAUUUGAACUCAAGUUUUUUACUACCCUGCUUGGGUUGAAUCUCUGAGCGCAGGAAAUGGUGUCAUUCAAGGAUGUGGCCAUUGAUUUCUCUGCAGAGGAGUGGGAAUGUCUGAACUCUGCUCAGUGGAAUCUGUACAGGGAUGUGAUGCUGGAGAAUUACAGCAACCUUGUGUUCCUGGGCCUUUCUUUCUCCAAGCCAUUACUGGUCAGAUUUCUGGAGAAAAACCAAGAGCUUUGGAAUGUGAAGAGACAAACAGCAGCUGUGCCCCGAGG